rnacentral:rRNA from 1 species
UCCUGCCGGACCUGACUGCUAUCGGAUUGAUACUAAGCCAUGCGAGUCUUUGCAGUAAUGCAAGGCAUACGGCUCAGUAACACGUAGUCAACCUACCCUAUGGACGAGAAUAAUCUCGGGAAACUGAGCAUAAUUCUUGAUAGAUCAUAAUGCCUGGAAUGGUUUAUGGUUAAAAUGAUUCGUCGCCAUAGGAUGGGACUGCGGCCUAUCAGCUUGUUGGUGAGGUAAUGGCCCACCAAGGCGAUUACAGGUACGGGCUCUGAGAGGAGAAGCCCGGAGAUGGGUACUGAGACACGGACCCAGGCCCUAUGGGGCGCAGCAGGCGAGAAAACUUUGCAAUGUGCGAAAGCACGACAAGGUUAAUCCGAGUGAUUUCUGCUAAAGAAAUCUUUUGCCAGUCGUAAAACCGCUGGUGAAUAAGGGGUGGGCAAGUUCUGGUGUCAGCCGCCGCGGUAAAACCAGCACCUCAAGUGGUCAGGAUGAUUAUUGGGCCUAAAGCAUCCGUAGCCGGCUUUGUAAGUUUUCGGUUAAAUCCAUGUGCUCAACGCAUGGGCUGCCGAAAAUACUGCAUAGCUAGGGAGUGGGAGAGGUAGACGGUACUCAGUAGGUAGGGGUAAAAUCCUUUGAUCUCUCGAUGACCACCUGUGGCGAAGGCGGUCUACCAGAACACGUUCGACGGUGAGGGAUGAAAGCUGGGGGAGCAAACCGGAUUAGAUACCCGGGUAGUCCCAGCUGUAAACGAUGCAGACUAGAUGAUGCAUUGGCAUAAUAGCCAAUGCAGUGUCUCAGGGAAGCCGUUAAGUCUGCCGCCUGGGAAGUACGUACGCAAGUAUGAAACUUAAAGGAAUUGGCGGGGGAGCACCACAAGGGGUGAAGCCUGCGGUUCAAU